CUUCUCUACCUUCACUCACCACCACCAUUGUUCUUCAUUCAAAAUCUUACCAAAACCCAAAACCCGCAUGAACAGGAUCAAUCAAUUCCCUUAUUCUUCACUAUGGUUUCAUCAAUUCGUAUUAAGAGAAAAACCCUAAUUUGUAUUAUCACUUUUUUAUUUCUGUAGUUACUAUUAUUUUUGUUUAAAAUCAAACAAGAAUAUUAAGAAGAAGUACUUAGGUGGUGCUUUUUACAUUAACUGAUGAAUUUCAGUCGAUUGAUGUUUUUCAACGAGUCUCCUCAUGAUCCACAAGCAUUUACUCAGUGACUGUAAAAGGGCAAAAGAGUUGUUAAAAAGGUUUGAGAACUUGAAAUUGAUCCAAGUCUUCCACCAUUAGUUUUUAAAUCCUAGUUCUAACAGGAGUUGCCCCACUGAAAGGCAAAAGAUUGUGAUUAAUGGUGGCUUGCUAAAGGAUGAUGAUGAUCAGUUACAAAACCUUCUUGUGUUGUAUAGUUUUUCACGUAAAAUCCUGCUCAAUGCAUCUACGGAUGCCAGGGUCAAAACUGAUGAUGAUGGGAACCACAGAUGAGACUGUGAAAGCUCCAGAGAAAGGUCCUGUUUUUUAUAGACCUACGAAAAGAAGAAUAAGCCAUUGAUGCGGGGCACACUGCUGAUCUAUAUAAUUUGGGAAACACCUGCUACAUGAAUUUUUCUCUACAAUGCUUGCAUUCAGUUCCUGAGCUGAAAUCGGAGCUAAUUAAGUAUCUUGGAAAACCAACAACUUGGAUCAGUCUUCACAUCUCCUGACUAUUGCAACUCAAGAUUUGUAUGAUAAGCUAGAUCGAAAUGUGAAACCUAUCUCCCUGAUGCAGUUUUGGAUGUUGAUUGUGACAAUGGAAUCAAUCUAGAUUUUGAUGCAAUGAUGAGAUGAAGCACACGAGAAUGUGUAUAAGGCCGUGGGAAGUACCUGUAAGUGUUUGCAUUAAGCCUUUAAGUCUUUAACAAAAACGACUUCUCCUUCCGCUGACCUUCAACAAUCUCUGUAGAUUCCUUUUUCUGUUACUCGAAUAUCAUAAUGUCCAUGAAAUAGCUUUUCCUUUUCAGUGGGUUUCCGGAAAGCACAUUCAAGGGCUUACAGGUGACAUUUUUAUGAAAGACUUGAUGAGCUCAAAAGUUGUGCAAAAUCUUUCUAGUGAUUCUGUUUGUGUCCUCUUGUGUUAGGUGUUUUGUGAACUUUUACAUUUGGAUCCUCGGUAGAUUGACUAACAUCUUUAAGAAUCAGAUUAUAUGUAUUUCUUAAUUAUUCAAAGUACUUCCGUGGACAUGUCAUUUUCAAUGUAAAAUUUAGGCCGGGAGAAUAUGACACAGGGCCGCUUUCAGUAAAUCAAUCAACUUGGUCUAAACGUCCCGUAACAGGCUUCCCCACUCACAGAACUCAUAGGUU